rnacentral:rRNA from 1 species
AGGACGAACGCUGGCGGCGUGCUUAACACAUGCAAGUCGAGCGAGGCCCUCUCUUCGGAGAGGUGCCCUAGCGGCGAACGGGUGAGUAACACGUGGGCAACCUGCCCCUAGCACUGGGAUAAGCCCGGGAAACCGGGUCUAAUACCGGAUAUGACCUUCAAGGGCAUCCUCGAAGGUGUAAAGGAUUCUGGCUAGGGAUGGGCCCGCGGCCUAUCAGCUUGUUGGUGGGGUAAUGGCCCACCAAGGCAACGACGGGUAGCCGGCCUGAGAGGGCGACCGGCCACACUGGGACUGAGACACGGCCCAGACUCCUACGGGAGGCAGCAGUGGGGAAUAUUGCACAAUGGGCGAAAGCCUGAUGCAGCGACGCCGCGUGAGGGAUGACGGCCUCGGUUGUAAACCGUCUUCAGCUCCGACGAAGCGAAGUGACGGUAGGAGCAGAAGAAGCACCGGCCAACUACGUGCCAGCAGCCGCGGUAA